AUGAACGCUGGCGGCGUGCGUAAUACAUGCAAGUCGAGCGAACAGACGAGGAGCUUGCUCCUCUGACGUUAGCGGCGGACGGGUGAGUAACACGUGGAUAACCUACCUAUAAGACUGGGAUAACUUCGGGAAACCGGAGCUAAUACCGGAUAAUAUAUUGAACCGCAUGGUUCAAUAGUGAAAGACGGUUUUGCUGUCACUUAUAGAUGGAUCCGCGCCGCAUUAGCUAGUUGGUAAGGUAACGGCUUACCAAGGCAACGAUGCGUAGCCGACCUGAGAGGGUGAUCGGCCACACUGGAACUGAGACACGGUCCAGACUCCUACGGGAGGCAGCAGUAGGGAAUCUUCCGCAAUGGGCGAAAGCCUGACGGAGCAACGCCGCGUGAGUGAUGAAGGUCUUCGGAUCGUAAAACUCUGUUAUUAGGGAAGAACAAAUGUGUAAGUAACUAUGCACGUCUUGACGGUACCUAAUCAGAAAGCCACGGCUAACUACGUG
rnacentral:rRNA from 1 species